rnacentral:rRNA from 1 species
GACGAACCGGACGAACGUUAUUCGGAAUUACUGGGCUUAAAGAGUGCGUAGGCGGCCUGGCAGGUUGGGUGUGAAAUCCCUCGUCUCAACCGAGGAACUGCGCUCAAAACCGCCAGGCUUGAGGAAGACAGGGGUGAGCGGAACUCACGGUGGAGCGGUGAAAUGCGUUGAUAUCGUGAGGAACACCGGUGGCGAAGGCGGCUCACUGGGUCUUAUCUAACGCUGAGGCACGAAAGCUAGGGGAGCGAACGGG